rnacentral:rRNA from 1 species
CCUACGGGAGGCAGCAGUAGGGAAUCUUCCACAAUGGGCGAAAGCCUGAUGGAGCAACGCCGCGUGGGUGAAGAAGGUCUUCGGAUCGUAAAACCCUGUUGUUAGAGAAGAAAGUGCGUGAGAGUAACUGUUCACGUUUCGACGGUAUCUAACCAGAAAGCCACGGCUAACUACGUGCCAGCAGCCGCGGUAAUACGUAGGUGGCAAGCGUUAUCCGGAUUUAUUGGGCGUAAAGGGAACGCAGGCGGUCUUUUAAGUCUGAUGUGAAAGCCUUCGGCUUAACCGGUGUAGUGCUUUGGAAACUGGGAGACUUGAGUGCAGGAGAGGAAGGUGGAAUUCCAUGUGUAGCGGGGAAAUGCGUAGAUAUAUGGAAGAACACCAGUGGCGAAGGCGGCUCUCUGGACAGUAACUGACGCUGAGGUUCGAAAGCGUGGGUAGCAAACAGGAUUAGAUACCCUAGUAGUC